GACGAACGCUGGCGGCGGGCUUAACACAUGCAAGUCGAACGGAAAGGCCCUGCUUUUGUGGGGUGCUCGAGUGGCGAACGGGUGAGUAACACGUGAGUAACCUGCCCUUGACUUUGGGAUAACUUCAGGAAACUGGGGCUAAUACCGGAUAGGAGCUCCUGCUGCAUGGUGGGGGUUGGAAAGUUUCGGCGGGUGGGGAUGGACGCGCGGCUUAUCAGCUUGUUGGUGGGGUAGUGGCUUACCAAGGCUUUGACGGGUAGCCGGCCUGAGAGGGUGACCGGCCACAUUGGGACUGAGAUACGGACCAGACUCCUACGGGAGGCAGCAGUGGGGAAUAUUGCACAAUGGGCGGAAGCCUGAUGCAGCAACGCCGCGUGCGGGAUGACGGCCUUCGGGUUGUAAACCGCUUUCGCCUGUGACGAAGCGUGAGUGACGGUAAUGGGUAAAGAAGCACCGGCUAACUACGUG
rnacentral:rRNA from 1 species